CCUACGGGGGGCAGCAGUCGGGAAUAUUGCGCAAUGGAGGAAACUCUGACGCAGUGACGCCGCGUAUAGGAAGAAGGUUUUCGGAUUGUAAACUAUUGUCGUUAGGGAAGAUAAAAGACUGUACCUAAGGAGGAAGCCCCGGCUAACUAUGUGCCAGCAGCCGCGGUAAUACAUAGGGGGCAAGCGUUAUCCGGAAUUAUUGGGUGUAAAGGGUGCGUAGACGGAAGAACAAGUUGGUUGUGAAAUCCCUCGGCUCAACUGAGGAACUGCAACCAAAACUAUUCUCCUUGAGUGUCGGAGAGGAAAGUGGAAUUCCUAGUGUAGCGGUGAAAUGCGUAGAUAUCAGGAGGAACACCGGCGGCGAAGGCGGCCUGCUGGACUGCGACUGACGUUGAGGCUCGAAAGCGUGGGGAGCGAACAGGAUUAGAUACCCCGGUAGUC
rnacentral:rRNA from 1 species